UCGUCAGCUCGUGUCGUGAGAUGUUGGGUUAAGUCCCGCAACGAGCGCAACCCUUGUUAUUAGUUGCCAGCAUUAAGUUGGGCACUCUAAUGAGACUGCCGGUGACAAACCGGAGGAAGGUGGGGAUGACGUCAAGUCAUCAUGCCCCUUAUGACCUGGGCUACACACGUGCUACAAUGGGCAGUACAACGAGAAGCAAGCCUGCGAAGGCAAGCGAAUCUCUGAAAGCUGUUCUCAGUUCGGACUGCAGUCUGCGACUCGACUGCACGAAGCUGGAAUCGCUAGUAAUCGCGGAUCAGCACGCCGCGGUGAAUACGUUCCCGGGCCUUGUACACACCGCCCGUCACACCAUGGGAGUCUGCAAUGCCCAAAGCCGGUGGCCUAACCUUCGGGAAGGAGCCGUCUAAGGCAGGGCAGAUGACCGGGGUGAAGUCGUAACAAGGUAACCGUA
rnacentral:rRNA from 1 species